rnacentral:rRNA from 1 species
CUACGGGGUGCAGCAGUGGGGAAUAUUGCACAAUGGAGGAAACUCUGAUGCAGCAACGCCGCGUGGAGGAUGACACAUUUCGGUGCGUAAACUCCUUUUAUAUGAGAAGAUAAUGACGGUAUCAUAUGAAUAAGCACCGGCUAACUCCGUGCCAGCAGCCGCGGUAAUACGGGGGGUGCAAGCGUUACUCGGAAUCACUGGGCGUAAAGCGAGCGCAGGCAGAUAUAUAAGUUGGAAGUGAAAUCCUAUGGCUUAACCAUAGAACUGCUUCCAAAACUGUCUAUCUAGAAUAUGGGAGAGGUAGAUGGAAUUUCUGGUGUAGGGGUAAAAUCCGUAGAGAUCAGAAGGAAUACCGAUUGCGAAGGCGAUCUACUGGAACAUUAUUGACGCUGAGGCUCGAAAGCGUGGGGAGCAAACAGGAUUAGAUACCCUCGUAGUC